rnacentral:lncRNA from 1 species
UCAAAUCAAGAAUACUCCAACUCAAAUUAAAAUCAUCCAUCAUAUAACAUCACAUAAUACAUCUCCCAAGUUUACAUAACACAAUACAUCUCCCAGGUUCACAUAAUACAUCUCCCAGGUUCACAUAAUACAUCUUCCAGGUUUACAUAAUACUUCCAAACUCCAAGUCGUUCUCCUCCUUGGGCUGGAUGGCGCACUCCAAGUCGUUCUCCUCCUUGGGCUGGAUGGCGCCUGCAACAGCCACCUGCUUCUGCAUCUCCUCGGCGAUCCUCUUCAGGUGCUCCAUAGUACAGAACGGAGUCCUCACCUGUCCUAAUAACCGAGAUAGCGGUCCGCCUAAAUCUUGUGCUUCGUUACCUGCGGGCAUCGCCAUGCACUGCCAAACAGGAGCAUCACUCAGUUCUUCACUACUUGUACCCAAGAAUGUAAGGUAAACAUAUGCAUAUGAACAUCCAUGUUGGUUCACAGUAGAAAAGAUUGUGUCAAAUACUACCAUCUUAGGUAGAAAUGAAGAAUAAGUCCUUCAGGUAAUUACUGCUUCAGGUGAAGAGAAAGGAACAGUUUAGAUCAAAGAGAAACUAUUGCUCAAACAAGAUAUGAAACACACAGGUUUAUUCCCAGAAAGCAGCAUUAUAUAGGCACAAAAAGAGACAUGGAGAACCAUGCAAUUAAGAGCAUACUACACUUCAGCUACAUACAUAACUGAAUUGGGACCGAUGAUUGGUUCCUGAUCAUAAUCAUUGGUUCGCAUAUAUCUAUGACUUUGGGAGCGACAAAAUCCGCCUAAUCGUUGCACACUGUUUGGUUUCUCUUGUCCAGAUAUAAGGUUUCCUUGGGGAUUGCCCAGUAAACUAGUAUAAGAAGAAGUUAAAAAGCAAAACCCACAGAUAAGACCUGUUGACAAGUCGUGUUACAGUUCCUUGGGUUGUCACCAAAGAUUUGCAGAACCAUACGAUAGAAAAAACUAAAAAGUAUGCGAGCUCUCUUACCUUCACCUUGUAUCCACGCUCCAUCAGCCUGGUAAUUGCAUCUGCUUUCACCUUCAUGUCUUUAAUUUCCUGCAAACAAUAAUUUAUGUUCCUCAACAACACGGCAUGGCACAAGGCUUCCAUAUUGCACACAAUAUAUCUAUGACUUUGGAAAUGAGUGAGCUCAACUAGGUAUAGGUCCAAACAAACAGAAAAAAAGGAUGUAGCAGUCCAAUCAAGCUGUUACUACAGCUAAAAGGUGGCAAUCAAUCAUGCAUUGCACAUCCGAACAAAAACGUUAUGUAGAACAACAGAACAUUCACUAUUACUGCCAGAAAGCAACUACCAAUGUUUUCCCUUCAAAUAUCCCAAAAAACGUCUUACAUUUUGAGAGAAAGGGAGUGGUGAAAACUUAUAGUUUUUGCCUUAAACCGCACUUCUUUGAUAUCACCACCACGCAAAGCAACAGCAGACUGCAAAAAAUCAGAUGCAAAAUAAUGAGAGAGAUUUUACUAUUUUCGUUAAGAUGUGAGAUCAAAGCCCAUUGAAGGUGCACAUUUAUCAUGACUUAUGCAGAAGUAAUAUAAACAUGGAAGGAGAUAUAAUGGUUAACAUUGUUUUCCCUUACUAGGUUUAUAAGGCUACAUUUAGCACAGUGUUACUUUUAAAGACCCCUUAAAUAUUUCUGCUGUAGAUGCAACAGUUACUCGAAAUCAUCUUCUUUCAGACACAACAGUAAAAUGUUCCUGGAAUAAGUAAAUAAUUCCCUAUCUAAAUAUACUCCAACACACGAACACAGCAACCAAAUGUUCCUGGAAUCAGUAUCUUGCUUUUGUUGGAAUCAUGGAUAAGAAGAUAGAAGAUAAUGACUGCACUGAUAAAAUAUAUGUUAAAUGGCUUGAUGCUUAAUUGAUAACAUUUUUUUUUCAAAAAUAGUAAAAUGUAUCGCCAUAUUGAUCCUUUUCAAAAAUGAACCAAUUGAAUGGCGCAUGAUUCAACAGGCAUAUUCUGGAUAUAAUCAGUAAACUGGAAUGAAGAGCAAGAGCAGAGCACAUGGGCUUACCAGCCAGGAAGCCUCAUUGUUGAGGAGCUUGGGUAUGUCGAGGUGAUGAGGCCUGAAAAAGCGCUGCAGGAGACCGAUCUUGUCCGAGACCUCGGCAUCGGCCGCGGCGUCCUCCGGCGACGACGCGAAGGUGCGGUCGAACAGCUUGGUCAUGAUGUACUUCUUGAGCCCUGCUUGGCACGCACGCACGCACAGACAAAUCAGUCAGGAUACUAAGUGUGAUACUAUGUAUGAGGUGUACUAUGAGCAGGUAGAUGAUGUUGAGUUCAUAAGGAUGACAGGAAGGUGCCGCGCCUACGACAACCCCAAUCGGUACGAAUUGCAGUGUGCCUGUCCACCGGAAGAAUACAUCCCAUAUCAAAUUUCUAGAGGACAAUCCUAAUUGGUACUAAUUCAUGUGAUCUAGAUAAUGAGAGCAUAUAAACGACCCAUGUCGAAUUGCCGAGAUAUUAACACAUGGACUACAAGGUAUUAGCACAUCUAAUUCUCACAUCAAGGUCAAAUUCAGGAUUCCAACAAACUGCAGCCGCCCGAUCAGAUGGCUAGAAAAUUAUGAAUGCCAGCAUAAGCUACCAGUGAUUCUUAGUAGUCAGCCAAAACCCAUUUCCAGGAGGGGAAAAGGCGAGAGAACCUGGAGAGGAUUUGGGCGUCCAGAUCCUUGCGGAUGUUGAAGGCGGACCCGUAGAUGGCCUCGGUCCCGAACCUCCUCUUCUCGUCCCAGAACUUGGUCUCCUGCACGGCGCGCACCCACGAAAAACAGUCAGAUUCAGAGCUAGCUAGGGUUUCGAGGCCGGGGGGGGGGACGAGCGGGCUGACCUUAUGGAUGGUGGCCUGGACGGGGUGCGGCGGCGCGAGGUCGCCCCUUACGCUGUCGUUGACGCCGAAGCGGAGCACGUCGUGGGUCUGCCCGAUCUCCUACCAUCUCCGCGAAGAAGGCCUGGACCCUGGCACCGUCCGCCUCCGCGCUGGGGUCCUCGAGGGAGAGGGCGGCGAGGAAGCUGCGGGGGUAAAGCUCGCCGGUCAGAUCGGAUCCGCGCGCGGGGGAGAGGGGAGAUGGACUGGAUUGAGUAUGCAUACAAAGUGAGGGACUGACCUCUGUUGUCCUUGAGCGCUCGCCGGCGCCGGCAGCGCGCAGCACGAUGGUGAGGGCGGGCAGGGUCGGGUCGCCGCACUGGUCCUCCUCGGCCCGCACGUACUCCUCGCCGCACUGGUUCUCCUCGGCUGCGGAUCGGGGGAGAGGGAGGGGUUGGGGUCGGGGCCGCGGGGCUGCGAGUGGGUUUGAGCUAGGGUUUGGAUCUCGAUGGGGAGCGGGGACAGGGGCUGCUGGAUGGGGAGCGGGGACAGCAGAGGGAUGGUGUAGACCGGCGGCAAGCGGAGGGAUGUGUGUGUGGUGGAUCUGGAUCGGGGAGCGGUCCUCGAAUGAAGCAGCGGCUAUCCCCGCGGCGCGCCCCGGCGCAGGAAGAGGCGGGGCAGCGGUGGGCCGGGUAUCCUCUGCCCACUGCGCAGCGUCGGCCAUCCAGGACAGCGCCGCCACGGCGGCUAGCUCGUGACGGCGUGGAUCUGGAAGGAAGGUGGCGGCGCGGAUCUGGAAGGGAGGAGGAGUUCGUGGGGAGGGACACUGGGAGAGCGAGGGGUUGGGUCGACCCCGUAGACUGCUCGCUGACCGGUGGGCCGGGCUGGGAUCUAUGGUGGGUGUGGGGUGUGGAUCUGUCUGCCACGUCAUCGAUCCAGGAGAGCUCUAUUCCAUCCAAUAGGAAAGCUUUAAAUAAUUUGUGUUUCUUUAGACUAUUACUUUUGUCAAAAUAAACAUGAUAAAACUUAGUAAUUUUUUUCACAAACUUUCCACGGCUUCUAGAGACUAUAAACCAAUACCACACCAAAUUUCAUAAACAUCAGAGCUUGUUACAUUUUCAAAUAAUAUGAAUGGUCGACAUACCCGCCGUUUUGACCACAUUUUGAAGUGGGCGUGAAAAAAUCAAAAAAAAUCAAAAAAAUAGAAAACCUUCACAUUGUGUCAUUAUAUGUGACAAAGUUACUAGGUAAAAAAUAACCUUGUAAUAUGACAAUUAUUUUUUAAAAAUGUUCUCGGAAAUGAGCUAUCAUGUGUGAAGAUUAAUGGCUUUCAAGCCAAAUGAUCAAUCUUAUGGUCACAUUCAUGGCAGAGUUUGUUCAAAAGAUCUAAUAUUGUGCACAAGGGUGCAUAUUGAAAUGGCAAACAAUGUUACUUAAGGAAGUUUUCAUUUUUCUUGCAUGAAAAAUUCAUUUUCCAUUUUUAAGUGCCCAAAAUGAGUUUUUUUAUGAAGGACAUACCAUAUAUUUGUAACAAAAUUGUACCAAAUCAUUUUUCUAACAUACUAGGACAUAUUUAAUGUACAAUUGACCAAAUGGUUGGGUGUUAAUGGAUUUUAUCGACCUCUCGUGAAAAAGACAAAUUUUCAUUGAAUCAGCUGAAAGCGGGUCAAAUUUGAACUGCAGCUACAUUAUAGUUUGCUCUUUAUUUUUCUUAAAAAUCAUUUUAGGUAUACAAGUAUCUAUUUAAUCAUAGAAACACCAAAAUAUUGUCAAGGUUCAACCACUAGGUAGGAACGGCCAUACCCGAUGUUUUGACCGCGUUUUGAAAUGGCCAUGAAAAAUUCAAAACAAAUUCAAAAAAAUGGAAAACCAUUGCAUUGUGUCAUUAUAUGUGACAACGUUACCAGGAAAAAUAAUAAACAAGUAAUGCGACAAUUAUUUUAAAUAAGUGUUCUUAGAAAUGGGCUAUCAUGUGUGAAGAUUCAUGGCUUUCAAGCCAAAUGAUUAAUCUUAUGACCACAUUCAUGACAUAGUUUGUUGAAAUGAUAUAAUAUUAUGCACAAGGGUGCAUAUUGGAAUGGAAAACAAUGUUGAUUAAGGAAGUUUUCAUUUUCCUUGUAUGAAAAAUUCAUUUUCCAUUUUUCAAGUGACCAAAAUGAGUUUUUUGUGAAGGACCUGCCAUAUAUUUGUUUCAAAAUUGGACCAAAUUAUUUUUAUAAAAUACUAGUCCAUAUUUAAUGUACAAUUGACAAAAUGGUUGGGUGUGAAAAUAUUUUAUCCACCUCUCGUGAAAAAGACAAAUUUAUGUCGAUUCAGGUGGAAGCGGGUUAAAUUUGAACUGCAGUUGCAUUAUAGUUUGCUCUUUAUUUUUCCCAAAAAUCAUUUGUAGGUAUAUAAGUAUCUAUUUAAUUAGAAAUACAUGGUGUGGUGCCUUGACGUCGAGGUUUGGAUGGUGUUCGAGGGCCCCAACUCCAAAGCGCGUGAACUUGCAUGUCAGUCGCAUGGUCACCUACCGUUGCGUUGCCAUACGUUCUAGGUGGAAUAGGCAUGUCUAGCGGGUUGGACAAUCCCUCGGUAGGUGUUAGCAAUAAGAAUACAAUAGAAGAAUCUCACGAGGAGACCGAACUAAGCUCAAACAUAAAUUAGCAGCCAAGUGUUUGAUUAGCGGUGCGGGUAAUUCACAUAGACAAUGGGACUAAAUUUUGGCUGGGUAUGAUCAUCUACUAAGGAGACUCUCUUGGAAAAUUUUUAGCUCAAAUGGAUGAAUAUAGGUGGCACUUGCUUUGCAAACUAACACAUUGUGAAGAAAUAUGGAUGUUGAAGAUGGGAUCAAAUGAAUGAAUAGAUUGACCUGAAUUUUGGUGUAUGAUGUUAAUUUGGGCGUAUGAAGGCAUUGUAUAAAAAUUAUAACAUUUGGAUAUGCAAAAGUGACACUUCCUUUACAAUGUGCCAAUCUGGACAGAAAAUGGUAAUUGAAACUGGGUUCACAUAGAUAAUUGGAUUGAGCUGAAAUUUGGAGGAGGAUGAUAAUUUGGGCACAUUAAGGUACUGUAAAAAAUUCAUAAAAUUUGGAUAAAGAAAAAUUAUACUUCCUUCACAAUGCUCUCUACUGAACAGAAUAUUGGGAAAAAUAUUGAGGGAAACUGACGGAAUUAAAUGAGUUAAAAUUUGGUGGAGUGAAUAUGGUCAGUGUCAUCCCGUGGUAAAUUUUCAUCAACUAUAAAGAAAUAUAAAGUCUAGUUGCUUCACAAAAUAAAAAUAUUACCAGAAACAAAGAUUGGGUGAUGAGCUCACGUGGAUUGUUAGAUGUGGCUAAAAUUUUAUGGAGAGCUAUAUUUUGGGCACAUAGAUGAUGUGGAAAAAAUUCAACUCAUCAGGAUAUUCUUAUCUAGUACUUCCUUCACAAAGCUGUUAGCUGAACACAAACUUUGGAAAUUUGCUGAGAAAGAUUUACUAGGCAAAUCGUUACGAAAGUUUUCAUGAGGCAAUGAUUUGGAUAGGAAAGAGUGCCCAAACAAUAUGAGGGUAAUCAAAGAAAUAGAAAUAGCACUUCCUUCACAAAGUGCUAUUCUGAACAGAAUAGGAAAAUGAAUAUUUUUGAAUUAUUUUUGAACUAUGGAAGGGAGGGUUUUCACAUAUUUGAGAAAUAUAUAGUCCAAAGUAUUUAUGAGAUUUUUUCGAGAAUUUUUGGAAUGAUAGAAUAGUAGGUUGCUUCACAAACUAGGAUUAGGUGGGAUAGAAUGGACCCACGAGUGACAUGUCAACAUAGUUAGAACAUGUUACGACAUUUUUACAAUCGUCGUAAAAGUUAUGACGAUCUCAUCUUAUGCGGUUACGACGUUUUGACUCACAUCGUCGUAAUUUAUAUGUAGAUUUGAUCCCCUCAAACGGUUUACGAUGAUCUCGGAUGAAAUCGUCAUAGAUUUAUGACGAAUUCGUCAACGACAUUUUAAAAAACAUCACAUAUGAGCAUAUUUCUUGUAGUGGAUGGCGCGACGAAAGGCAUGCUGAAGAACGUGAGGGGCCCGUCACCCUGAUGAAGGACGACGUCGAACCCCACGCCGGAAGGCGUCGUAGUCGAGCAUGAACGGUCGGUCGAAGUCAGGCAUCUGAAGGACGGGACCCGUUGUAAGUCCCGUUUGAGGGCCUCGAACGCCUCCGUUUCCUCCGUAUCCCAGGCGAAGGCGUUGCGUCGGAGCAGGCGCGUGAGCUGGGACGCGAUGAGGCUGAAUUCCCGGAUAAAUUCCCGGUAGUAGUCUGCGAGGCCCAGGAAGCCACGAAGAGCCCGCGGGGAGUGCGGCGUCGGCCAGGCCGCAACAGCCGCCACCUUGUCGGCGUCCAUAGCAACACCCUCGGCCGAGAUAAUGUAUCCGAGGUAGGUGACGGAAGGUGUCCCGAACGAGCACUUCAAGCGCUUAAGAUGAAGAUGGUGCGCUCGAAGCUCGUUGAAGACGAUGGCGACGUGCUGAAGAUGUUCCGCCCAUGUCGUAUUGUAGAUAAGAAUGUCAUCAAAGAAAACGAGCACAAACCGACGCAAGUAGGGCCGGAGGACGUCGUUCAUCAAGGCAUGAAAAGUCGCCGGAGCAUUGGAGAGGCCAAAAGGCAUCACCAAGAACUCGAAGUGGCCGUGAUGACCCCGAAACGCCGUCUUCGUGACAUCAUCUAGGUGCAUCCGCACCUGGUGGGAGCCCGAACAAUGGUCGAGCAUGGUGAAGAAGCAUGCCCCAUGUAGUUCGUCCAGGAGCUCGUCGACGACCGGAAUGGGAAAUUUGUCUUUGAGUGUCUGGGCGUUAAGAGCGCGGUAGUGGAUGCAGAAGCGCCACGAGUCGUCCGACUUGCAAACAAGGAGGGCCGGCGCUGCAAACGGUGAAGUGGAGAUCCGGAUGAUGCCCAGAGCUAGCAUGAGUGCACAAUGCUGCUCCAGCUCGUCCUUCUGCAGCUAGGGGUAGAGGUAGGGACGCACCGCCACCGGCGCCGUGCCUGGAAGGAGAUGGAUGUAGUGGUCAUACACUCGGGCCGGCGGCAGACCCUGAGGCUCGUCAAAGAGGUUGCUGUGCUGCUGCACGAGAUGGUCCAAUAGAGGGUGCGCGGACUCGGCAGCAGUCGCAGCCAGCUAUGGCUGUGGCGUCGCUGGUGGGGCGCCACCCGCGCGCCCUCCCACCGGAUGCGGCGACCCAGGCGGUAGAAAGUCAUCGUCAUGGCGUCGAAGUCCCAGAGAAUGGGACUCAGGGUCCGCAAGAAGUCGACACCGAGGAUGAAGUCGAAGCAGCCCAAGUCAAUGCCAGCGCAUGUGAUGGUGAACUGUUCGUCGCCGAUGGUGAUGGGAACAUCCCGUGUGAGACCAUGACAUCAGAGACGAUCGCCGUUAGCCACGGUGACCCGCAGCUGCUUCCCGCCCACCGGCUGAAGUCCCUAGCGGUGCAUGGUCGACUCGGGCAAGAAGUUAUGUGUGGAGCCCGUAUCCAGAAGGGCCAGGAGGCGCUCGCUCGUCUGCUUCGCUCGUAUACCCGCGAGGGCAUGGAGGGAGACCACGAGAGCUGUCGCCGGUGCCGGUGCGACCUCCGCAACAGCUGGUGCGGCCAAGUCGCCGAGCUCGUCCGCGGGCGUGUCCUCCUUGACGUAGUCGGCCGCCUCCAAGUAAAAGUGGUGCGGGUAGAUGUGACCUGACACGUAGGGCUCGUCGCAGUUAAAGCAUAGCCCCUGGCGAUGACGCUCGAGCUGCUCAGACGGGGUGAGCCGGCGGAAGGGCCACGUCAAGGCCGAAGUGGUAGUCGCAGGAGGGACCAGGGGCGGACGGCCCGGCACAGCCGUAGGCUGGGGAAACCGGGUCGGCUGUCGGCCCCACUUCGCGUCAGCGCCGCCUGCUGCAAGGUCUGCGUGCGGAGCUCGAAGGCGCAGGCGUAGUACAUGGCUGUCUGGAGGUCCUGGGGCCCCCGAAGCUUCACGUCCAUGCAGAUGUGAUAUGGCAAACCACCGACGAGGAGCUCGGCCCGCUGCUGAGCUGUCACGCCUGGCGCGUGGCACGCGAGGGCCUGGAACCGGUCGGUGAAGUCCUGUAUCGUGGAUGUGAAGGGCAGUCGGUCGAGCUCCGCCAGCCCCCGGAGGUCCGAAGCAAAGGAGGCAGAGCUCGCGAAAGCAUUCACAUGAGGGCAUGCCGCCCUCGUGCUGCUCGAGGGCGUAAUACCACGUUUGUGCGGCGCCUCGGAGGUGAUAUGAGACGAGCCAAGUGCGGUCCGACGCGAGUGUGUGUUGCCCCCGGAAGAACUGCUCACACUGAUUGAGCCAGUUGAGGGGGGUCCUCUGUACCGUUGUAGGCGGCAAAGUCAAUCUUGGCGAAGCGCGAUGUUGUUUGAGUAAGACGCCGUGUCCGUACGGAUCGGCGGUGUGGAUCAAGGGUGACGGUGCCGGGUCGAUGGCCACCGGGGGUCCCCCGUGGAAAGAAGGCACGUUGCGGCUGGUGUAGAGGCCCGCGGAACUAGAGGCCCCCCGAACUGCACAACGGUCGCCGACUGCUCCGACGCCAUCGUGUAGACCGGCUGCAGAACGGACCCGUCCAACCAGUACGAAAGUGGGGAAGGUGAGGGAGGGAACUGGACGUAAUAGAUCAAGACGCCUACUGGUAUUGUGGCCGGCGGCCUGGAGCUGAACUGCGGCGGCCCCGGCAGCUGCAGCGCCAAGGGGGCGACCGGCACGGCCGAUGCUGCAAGCGCCUGAGUUGACCAGGGCGACCAAGGUGGAGUGCUGGCUGGUGGGGGCGGCAGCUGCACUGACCCGGCGAUCGCGGGGCCCUGCCAGGGAAGCAGCUGUAGCCCAGUGGCGGGGGCCGACAGCGCCGCCGGUGGCGGACUUUAGGGGCCGGCCAGAUAAAGACGGAUCCCCUGGACCGCGGUGGCGAGGUCGCGCAGGGUCCCCGUGACCUCCUCUGGGGUGUAGAUAACAGGGGCUGGGGCGGCAGUGGUAGCCGACGCGGCGGUGGCGGCCGCCAUACCCGGCGGCGCGGGGGAGAUGGCCUGUAGUGGGGUGGUGGUGGCGGGCAGGAGGGUCGUAGCGGCCGGCGAGGAAUGACAUGAUCGGCCUGGAGUCUCUAGAUACCAAAUUGGUAGGAACCGCUAGAGUUUUACCGGGUCCAGGGCAGAGGUUGUAGGGGAUGAAGCGGGGCUGGCGAGGGCUGGAGCACGGCGGCCGCCGGCGGGGCGCCGUUGCGCGCGAGAGGGAGGCGGCGGCGCAACUAGUGUUCCGGCUCCUGUGGGAGCCGGGCAAUAGAGUUAUGACUAUAUUGCUUCAUUUCAAAAGAGUUGUUUACGUCAGUUUAUAUAAUGUCGGUAACUUGGACUCUAAGAUAACUAAGAUAACUUGGACACUAAGAUAACUUGAGCUAAGCCCGUAACUAGUCCUGCCCAUUGGACAUCCUUCGUUGGUACAUAGUACCGGUCAUAACACUUCAGUACUAGUAUACAAGUAGUUGUACUAGACCUUAGAGCAUCUCCACAAGAUGAUGUAAAAGUUGGUGCCAAAAAUAUUGUAGGGGCUGUAGAGAAAGUUACUGUGGACUAGAAAAAAUUCUGUCAUAACAUAUGAUGUAGAAUUGGUGCCCUAAACAGUCAAACAAUAACAUUAUUCAUUGCAUAUUCUGGAAUUUCAAAUGUACUAAAUCUUUCCCUAAUAAUAAAGCAGGUACUGUUUUUGUCGUCCGUCAUGGCGUUUUUCGAAAAGCCCUCGCUGUUUUAGUUAAUCAACCCGCGGUCCGAACGGGUGCAUGCGAGAGAAAAGAAAGAAAACAUCCACCCGUGCCUCCCGAUCCCUUCUCCAGCCCGCCGCCACCUCCAACCACGCCCAACCCCGCCCCGCCUCACCGCGCGCCGCCACCACCUACCCCACCAGCGCUCGCGACCUUCCAUCGUCGGUGCGUUCCUGCCAUGCCCUGUCCCUCCCCGCCUCACCACGCGCCGUCACCGCCUGCCCCAUCGGCGCACCUACCCCUAUCUCCGGAUUAAGUUGGGUCAAAGAGCGGGGAGGCUUUUGUUGCGAAUCCUUGCGGCAGCGGCGGGGCUUGCCGGCUGCAAGGCGGAGAAGGAGCGCGACAACAGGGUGGCUUGAGGCUCGUGGUGGACCGGAUCCAACGAGGAGAAGGUCGGAUUCAUCAGCUGGCGGCAUCGACAAGGGGUUUAACAAUGGUCAGAGGCAGCUCGCGUACUCCAUGGGGGGAUGCACGACUUCCCCUUCCGCAGAACGCUAACCUGCUUCCUCCCCCGCGCCCCUCCUCUUUACUUGAGCACAACAUGGCAGUGGCGGAUUGCUCUCAAAUACUGCUCCCAAUUCCUCUGUUUAUAGGGAAAAAAGUAGUAUGUCUGACCACGGUGGAAUUUAGUGCGUGCUCUCCUCUAUGCCCUAUAAUCCUCUUCAUAUUGAAUUGAAUCUGGGAAUCCAACCAUGGAAGAAACAUCCAUCUUCUGAUCUUUGUCUUGCCUCAAGUGCAAUUUCAGUUUGUCCAGUAGUGCUCUUGACAAAUUUCUACAAUGAAGAAUGAAAUACUAGGAGAUAGGCUACCAACUCGGUAAGAAUAUAGAUGUCAAGGAUCUGCCNNNNNNNNNNNNNNNNNNNNNNNNNNNNNNNNNNNNNNNNNNNNNNNNNNNNNNNNNNNNNNNNNNNNNNNNNNNNNNNNNNNNNNNNNNNNNNNNNNNNACCAAACCGAGAAAAAGAAAAAAUAAGGAAGCGAAUACAUCAUACAAUGAGCCAAAGCGCCACAUAGUUCUUUCAGGAAAAAGGGACAUCGUGGGAGUGGAGGGCAAGACAGACAUGUCCGAAGAUUAUGAAAAGUUUAAUGACAUUCCUCCCUUCAAAGUCAAGGCUGACCCAAGCAUCCUGAUAAAUGAUGAAGAUUAUUCAUGGUUACGGUGCAAUAAGGAAAGGACACAAGCGAAGAAAAGUGAAGACUUUUUCCACAACUAUUAUGAUGAUACCAUGCCAUCUUUCAACCUUUUUGUAGUUCAUUUGAAAUGCAUGUUGUAACAGACAAGUUUCCGUAUGAAAUCCUGAUACUUCGAAAGAGAUUGUCCGUUUUGUACACGAAGUGCAUCCAGUUUUUGCCGUAACCCUCUCAACUUUCUUGCAUAUGCUAUGUGGAUGAAAUGAUGAUACCAUGCCAARWYWRAWGAGAGGCGCAAUGCUCACCUGCACGUUGCUGAGCUUGAGGCCAACGUCCAGGUGAGCACUGCGCUUCUCCCUUCAUCUUCUCUACACUCAGGGCUUAUAAACCGCUGCGAGUGCCUCUCGUUUGACAAGGUGGGACUAAAAAACAGCUGCAGAAAGAAUCAACUAAAAAACUCUUUUACCGGUUCAUGCCACGAACCGGUACUAAAAGGUGCUCGUGGGGCCCCAGCCAUAAAACCUGUACCAAAUAAAAUGCCUUUGUAACAGGCUUAGAACUGGUACUAAAGGAAUCAACUAAAAAGCUUUUAUAAACCUCUCGUAUUAUUGAAACUAAAAUUAUAUAGAAUUUUCGUUACAAACUUUAAUAGCAAAAAGAAUUAUCAGUAAAAGAAAAUAAAUARGUAAUUAGAAUUUUGUUCAAAAACAUUAAAAAGCAAAAAACAAUUAUCAUAAAAGAAAAUAAAUAAGUAAUUAGAAACAAAAAAAAGCAAAAAAAACUAGGAAAAAAUUAAAAUAAAGGAAUCAACUAAAAAGGACUUUUAUAAACCUCUAGUAUUAUUGAAACCUGUCUGAUGNNNNNNNNNNNNNNNNNNNNNNNNNNNNNNNNNNNNNNNNNNNNNNNNNNNNNNNNNNNNNNNNNNNNNNNNNNNNNNNNNNNNNNNNNNNNNNNNNNNNUAUAACUAUUUUACUGUGCUUAGAUUUGGUUAGCAGUUUUUAGGCUACAUUGCAGCCUAAACGUGCCCCAGCUUGUUGUUGUUAUGCAUUUUAUAUUUCCUGAUAGAUUAUGAACCGUUUCCUGUUUUUACUCAGUUUGGGGCUGCUUGAGUGGGUGCAUACUAAAUCGUAUAACAAGAGAAAGUGAAUAACUGAAUGCGAUAACACGUGUUGAACUCAAGUUUACACAUUAGUGCACGUGAUGUGUCAAUCAAACGUACUAUAACCCUCAUAUAAUGGAUGCUGCUAUUUGCAAAGUAAGAAUUGAAUGAUGCAAAGAGAUCCAUGAUGUAGAAGAACUUACAAGGCCGGUAGUCUCCGAACCCCUUUCAUUGGAAUUUGACGAAAUCCCCAAUCGCAUAGGUCACACACAAUGUAUUGAAAAUGCGGUGUCUGCCGGUGCUCUGUUUUGAGAUGUUUUAGUCACAUAUUCUUAUCUAAUUAUGGUAUGAGAAAAAUAGCACUUCAAGUCCUUAUCAAACGUGUUUCUCCUUUGUUUUGGUCUUCUCUUAACUUUUUUGUUUGCUUCAGGAUGCCUCUAAUUAUCUAACAAAUGCAUGUGAGCAAAGAUUAUAGUGGCUCAAAUAGCAUGUAGGUUUAAUAAACCAAAUAAUUGAUUGUUGCCGUUGUUUUACUGAUUGGCUUAGAAGUAGAGACUUGGCAUGGGGGCUGCCGCUUGAAAAGAUGCAAAUGUUGCAACUUCACCAAAGGUUCUAUGUCGCAAGUUGUGUGUGUCGGUGGUUCAAGGUCCUUUCCCUUAUUCUAUUUUUCUCUAUAGUUUUUGUCUAAUGUAUGACGUAUUCCUUCUAAAAGUUGUAUGGUAAUGAGCGAGCCUAAUCUGAAAAUAUAUUAGACUGGCGAUUGCGUUAGUUUGUUAGAUCGACAGGAUGUAGUUGUAGGAGACCCAUGCCUUCUAUGUUCAGGUCAUCGUUUUUUUUAUUUUACAAUUUUCAGAUUUUACAUUCCACAGUAUCUUCUGCCAUUCCGAAAUGCCUAUAUGUAUGGUUAUAAAUCAUCUACGAGUACAGAAUGCUAACUACGUUUCAGACAUGAAAGCUUAGGAAAAAACAUGUAAGCUAAAGCCCGAACAAAUGCACUAUGAAAAACGCCUUGAUAUUCAGUAGCAGUAGUGAGAACAUAUAUAUAAUUAAAAAUAAUCAAAGGAGUAAAAUGAGCAGACCAAUUUAGUGUAGGCAUAUAACGAGUUGUCCUUUCUGUUGUUGUUUAUUGUCAAUUUAAAGUAGAGUAGCUUCUAAUUUUCCCAUGUACACUAGUAGAAAACAGGGCAUUUGUCCCGAUUCGUAAGGGCCUUUAGUCCCGAUUCUUGAACCGGGACUGAUAGGUCGUUACUAAUGCCUCCCCCCUUUAGUCCCGAUUCUUACACGAACCGGGACAGAUGGGCAUCCAUGUGGACGCUGCGGGCAGCCCAGACAGGGGGGCCUUUGGUCCCGGUUGGUGACAUAAACCGGGAUCAAAAGGCAUCCACGUGUCAGAAGCUGGCUACAGCUGAGGGUUUUUUUUAAAGUUGCUGGUUUAGGGGUUUUGGGGGUUAAUUUAGGUUGUUAUUAGCUAGCUAAUAGAGAGAAGUGUCCUCUCUUAUCUCCGUGCUUGGUUUACCAACGCUACUGCUAUGUUCAUUUCACCCGCUGAUAUAUAAUAACUCUUCAUGCUCGCAUCAUACAUCAUCAUAUAUAAUAACAAGUCCUACUAAUCAUGCAUCAUCAUACAACUUCUAACAAGUCCUACUAAUCAUGCAUCAUCAUACAACUUCUACUCGUUAUUAAUAACAAGUCAUAUGAUCAUCAUACUCAUAGUCAUCGAACCCAACCCUACAUAAUUGUUCUUAGCACAUCAUCAGUAUUAGGUAGACCUAAACACACUUAAGAUAAAAUAGCAUAAAACAAUAUAGACCCUGACUCUCCAUUAUGAAGAAUGGAGAUCAUCUUGUCUCCAAUUCUUGCGCUUCGCUUCCUUUUGCUUCCAAGAAGCUCCUUACGACUGUCCAUACAUUUUUUCCAUUCUUUGAUUGUCAUCUCCACUUCUUUUAGAAAUCCGGUAUGGACAGUUGAGAUUCGUAGGACGACCUGGUUGUAUGUUCAAAACAUCAAGGCGACCGUGCGUAUACAUCAGAUGAGGCACACAAUCAUUCAGGAUUAUGUGUUGAAAAACAUAGUAAUAACUUCGUAGUUAGCAAUGAUGUAUACGACGACGUGGAUGAUAGAGAGGGCUCCUAGAUUUCUGCAUAGAGUGCUCUUCAAUUUUAGCAUUCAAAGUAGGAGUACUUUUCCAAUAUUAGCAUUCAAUAAGCAAAACCAAAUCGUAAAAUAAAGUAGUAUUCAAAUUAGCAUGCAUUCAAUUAUAACCAAAACUACAUCAUCUCUUGUGUCCGUACAUCGUCGAAUAUUAUCACUAAUACUCCUCGAAUACUAUCAUACUUAUAGCAUCGCUAAUACAGCUAGAACCGUAGCGCCCGACGGGUGUCGUCGCGGGCGGUGGACACCCAAAGAUAAGGAACCAUCACAGGAUCAGAGCUCCAGUGAGAUCCCUGAAGAACCUGUCAGGUAUUGUCGAACCUGCCCUCCAAUGCAACCAUGUAGGGACGGACGUGCUCGUCCUCCUCGCUGACACGGUGACGUACCACCUCCGUGGUGUCCGGAAGCCUCGGCACCGUCACUGACCCACGCGACCGCCACCAAACAAGGAUCGGGUCAACAACGGGCUGCCUCCUCACCAACCUACGUCCCCUGGAAGGUAGCACCUCCCAAUACCAGCCCGGCGGAGCCCAGUCCCGAACAUGGCCCUAAUCAAGCAGGCCUCCACCGCCGAGUCGACGACGACGAGGAUGCGGGAACUACUUCUAUAUAUAGUUAAAUAAAGUAGUUUUAUUAAUUAAAUCAACUAGUUCAACUACUAAGCACUUACUAUAAAUAAAUAAAGUAGUACUUACUAAAAACAAACUACUUCUAUAUAUGUAGUAAAAUAAAGUAGUUUAUUAUAAAUCAACUAGCUAGUUCAACUAUAUAUGAAGCACUUACUAUAAAUAAAAUAAAGUAGUACUUACUAAAAAUAAACUAGUUUAACUAUAGUUCUAUUAUUUUUCUAACUAAUUAUAUUAAACACUUUCUCUUCUUAUUUUUUCCUUUUUCCUCUAUUUUAAAUAUGAACAUAUUCAUAAAUGACUUUGAUCAUGCACAAUUUUCCUAUACAUACACAAUAUGAACAUAUACAUAAAUUGACAAAGAAAAUACUAUGAACAAAAAAAUCAUUAAAAUUCUAUGAACAAAAUUACAAUAGAAAAAAAUCAUAAAAAUUUUAUGAACAAAAAAAUGACAUAUUCGAUCUUUGCAUAUAUAUGAACAUACAAACAUGCAUAUUCAACAAUAAUAUCACAAAAAAAUCUUUUAAUAGAAAAAAUCUCACACAAUAUGAACAAAUUAAUUACACAAUAUGAAAAAAAAUCUAACAGAAAAAUCUAUGAACUACACAUCUAAAUUAGUACACAUCUAACAAAAAAAAUCUAUGAACUACAAAAAAAUUUAACAAAAAAAUGUUAAAAAAAUCUAACGAAAUCUAACUCAAUUAACUACACAUCUAAAUUAACUACUAGUAACAUCAAAUUAAAUUAGCAAAAAUUUUGCUCAUNNNNNNNNNNNNNNNNNNNNNNNNNNNNNNNNNNNNNNNNNNNNNNNNNNNNNNNNNNNNNNNNNNNNNNNNNNUCAAGGGCCGGCGGCGUCGCGGGGCGGGGGGCGCGGGGCGGGGGCUGUUACGCAGUCGGGGCGGCGCGGGGCGACGACGGCGACUGCGAGGCGGAGACGGACAAGCAGCCUGGCGGCGUCGGGCGGCGGGGAAGAACGAACUGAAUCAAAUAUUCACGAGUGCUGCUUAUAUAGGCAGAGCAUUGGUCCCGGUUCAUGGCACUAACCGGGACCAAAUGCCUCUUUUCAGCAGCCCAAAGGGCGAGAAACAGAGACCUUUGGUCCCGGUUGUUUCCACAAACCGGGACAAAAGAGGGGCAUUUGUCCCGGUUGGUGCCACCAACCGGUACCAAUGUACCCCUUUAGUCCCAGUUGGUGGCACCAACCGGGACCAAAGAGCGUGUGCUGGCGCGGUGCGCUGCUAUGUUUAGUCCCACCUCGCUAGCCGAGAGGGGCUCGGAGUGGUUUAUAAGCCCUGCCGAACCAACCACUUCGAGCUCCUCUCUACUGCAGGCUUACGGACCUAAAAUCACUCUCCGUGCUUGUGGGCCUAUUGGGCCUACUGCGGGCCUGCAUCCUGGCCCUAGUAAUGGGUUUCUAGUCGUAUGCAGGCCGUGGUGGCCUUGUAGGUGGCACUUUUUUUAAUUUUUUUCCUGUUUUUUGCUUUCUUUUUUGUUUCUAAUUACUUAUUUAUUUUCUAUUACGCUAAUUCUUUUUGCUAUUAAAGUUUGUAACAAAAUUCUAAUUACUUAUUUAUUUUCUUUAUGAUAAUUCUUUUUUGCUUUUAAUGUUUUGAACAAAAUUCUAAUUACUUAUUUAUUUUCUUUUAUGAUAAUUCUUUUUGCUAUUAAAGUUUGUAACAAAAUUCUAUAUAAUUUUAGUUUCAAUAAUACGAGAGGUUUAUAAAAGCUUUUUAGUUGAUUCCUUUAGUACCAGUUCUAAGCCUGUUACAAAGGCAUUUUAUUUGGUACAGGUUUUAUGGCUGGGGCCCCACGAGCACCUUUUAGUACCGGUUCGUGGCAUGAACCGGUAAAAGAGUUUUUUAGUUGAUUCUUUCUGCAGCUGUUUUUUAGUCCCACCUUGUCAAACGAGAGGCACUCGCAGCGGUUUAUAAGCCCUGAGUGUAGAGAAGAUGAAGGGAGAAGCGCAGUGCUCACCUGGACGUUGGCCUCAAGCUCAGCAACGUGCAGGUGAGCAUUGCGCCUCUCUUUUAUUUUGGCAUGGUAUCAUCAUUUCAUCCACAUAGCAUAUGCAAGAAAGUUGAGAGGGUUACGGCAAAAACUGGAUGCACUUCGUGUACAAAACGGACAAUCUCUUUCGAAGUAUCAGGAUUUCAUACGGAAACUUGUCUGUUACAACAUGCAUUUCAAAUGAACUACAAAAAGGUUGAAAGAUGGCAUGGUAUCAUCAUAAUAGUUGUGGAAAAAGUCUUCACUUUUUCUUCGCUUGUGUCCUUUCCUUAUUGCACCGUAACCAUGAAUAAUCUUCAUCAUUUAUCAGGAUGCUUGGGUCAGCCUUGACUUUGAAGGGAGGAAUGUCAUUAAACUUUUCAUAAUCUUCGGACAUGUCUGUCUUGCCCUCCACUCCCACGAUGUCCCUUUUUCCUGAAAGAACUAUGUGGCGCUUUGGCUCAUUGUAUGAUGUAUUCGCUUCCUUAUUUUUUCUUUUUCUCGGUUUGGUAGACAUGUCCUUCACAUAGAUAACCUGUGCCACAUCAUUGGCUAGGACGAACGGUUCGUCAGUGUACCCAAGAUUGUUCAGAUCCACUGUUGUCAUUCCGUACUGUGGGUCUACCUGUACGCCGCCUCCUGACAGAUUGACCCAUUUGCACUUAAACAAAGGUACCUUAAAAUCUACUCCGUAGUCAAGUUCUCAUAUGUCCACUAUGUAACCAUAAUAUGUGUCAUUUGCCCUCUCGGUGGCUGCAUCAAAGCGGACACCGCUGUUUUGGUUGGUGCUCUUUUGAUCUUGGGCGAUCGUGUAAAAUGUGUUCCUAUUUACCUCGUAUCCUUUCCAAAUCGUAACAGUAGAAGAUGGUCCCCUGGACAACGAGUAAGCUCAUCACAAACAGUGUUUUCAUCUCUGAGACAUGUUUCCAUCCAACUGCUGAAAGUCCUGAUGUGUUCACAUGUAAUCCAGUCGUCGCACUGCUCUGGGUGUUUGGAGCGUAGACUGUUCUUGUGUUCAUCGACAUAAGGGGUCACCAAGGUAGAGUUCUGUAGAACUGUGCAGUGCGCUUGAGACCAAGAAUAUCCGUCCCUGCAUAUUAUUGUCUCCCCUCCAAGCGUGCCUUUUCCAGUUAGUCUCCCCUCAUACCGCGAUUUAGGGAGACCUAUCUUCUUAAGGUCAAGAAUGAAGUCAACACAAAACCCAAUGACAUCCUCUGUUUGAUGGCCCAUGGAGAUGUUUCCUUCUGGCCUAGCGCGGUUACGGACAUAUUUCUUUAGGACUCCCAUGAACCUCUCAAAGGGGUACAUAUUGUGUAGAAAUACGGGGCCCAGAAUGACAAUCUCGUCAACUAGAUGAACUAGGACGUGCAUCAUGAUAUUGAAGAAGGAUGGUGGGAACACCAGCUCGAAACUGACAAGACAUUGCACCACAUCACUCCUUAGCCUUGGUAUGAUUUCUGGAUCGAUCACCUUCUGAGAGAUUGAAUUGAGGAAUGCACAUAGCUUCACAAUGGCUAAUCAGACGUUUUUCGGUAGAAGCCCCCUCAAUGCAACUGGAAGUAGUUGCGUCAUAAUCACGUGGCAGUCAUGAGAAUUUAGGUUCUGAAACUUUUUCUCUGCCAUAUUUAUUAUUCCCUUUAUAUUCGACGAGAAGUCAGUCGGGACCUUCAUACUAAGCAGGCAUUCAAAGAAGAUUUCCUUCUCUUCUUUGGUAAGAGCGUAGCUGGCAGGACCUUCAUACUGCUUUGGAGGCAUGCCUUCUUUUUCGUGCAAACGUUGCAGGUCCUCCCGUGUCUCAGCUGUAUCUUUUGUCUUCCCAUAUACACGCCCAAGAAGCCUAGCAAGUUGACGCAAAGGUUCUUCGUCACGUGCAUCACGUCUAUCGAAGAGCGGACCUCUAGGUCUUUCCAGUACGGUAGGUCCCAAAAUAUAGUUUUCUUCUUCCACAUGGGUGCGUGUCCCCCAGCGUCACUCGGAACAGAUAGUCCGCCGGGACCCUUUCCAAAGAUUACGUGUAAAUCAUUGACCAUAUCAAGUACGUGAUCACCAGUACGCAUGGCGGGCUUCUUCCGGUGACCUGCCUCGCCUUUGAAAUGCUUGCCUUUCUUUCGACAUUGAUGGUUGGUCGGAAGAAAUCGACGAUGGCCCAGGUACACAUUUUUCCUGCAGCUUCCCAGGUAUAUACUUUCGGUGUCAGCUAAAUAGUGCGUGCAUGCGUGGUAUCCCUUGUUUGUUUGUCCUGAAAGGUUACUGAGAGCGGGCCAAUCGUUGAUGGUUACAAACAGCAACGCGUGCAGGUUAAAUUCCUCCCGUUUGUGCUCAUCCCACGCACGUACACUGUUUCCAUUCCACAGCUGUAAAAGUUCUUCAACUAAUGGCCUUAGGUACACAUCAAUGUCGUUGCCGGGUUGCUUAGGGCCUUGGAUGAGAACUGGCAUCAUAAUGAACUUCCGCUUCAUGCACAUCCAAGGAGGAAGGUUAUACAUACAUAGAGUCACGGGCCAGUCGCUGUGAUUGCUGCUCUGCUCCCCGAAAGGAUUAAUGCCAUCCGUGCUUAAACCAAACCAUACGUUCCUUGGGUCACGUGCAAACUCAGCCCAGUACCCUCUCUCAUUUUUUCUCCACUGCGACCCGUCAGCGGGUGCUCUCAACUUCCCGUCUUUCUUACGGUCCUCACUGUGCCAUCGCAUCAACUUGGCAUGCUCUUUGUUUCUGAACAGUCGUUUCAACCGUGGUAUUAUAGGAGCAUACCACAUCACCUUCGCAGGAACUAUCUUCCUGCGGGGCUCGCCGUCAACAUCACAAGUGUCAUCUCGUCUGAUCUUAUACCGCAAUGCACCGCAUACCAGGCAUGCGUUCAAAUCCUCGUACGCACCGCGGUAGAGGAUGCAGUCAGUAGGGCAUGCAUAUAUCUUCUGCACCUCCAAUCCUAGAGGGCAUACGAUCGUCUUUGUUGUGUACGUACUGUCGGGCAAUUCAUUAUCCUUUGGAAGCUUCUUCUUCAAUAUUUUCAGUAGCUUCUCAAAUCCUUUGUCAGGCACAACAUUCUCUGCCUUCCACUGCAGCAAUUCCAGUACGGUACCCAGCUUUGUGUUGCCAUCUUCACAAUUGGGGUACAACUUUUUUUUGUGAUCCUCUAACAUGCGAUCGAACUUCAGCUUCUCCUUUUGACUUUCGCAUUGCGUCCUUGCAUCGACAAUGACCCGGAGGAGAUCAUCAUCGGGCACAUCGUCUGGUUUCUCUUGAUCUUCAGCAGCUUCCCCCGUUGCAGCAUCAUCGGGCACAUCGUCUGGUUCCUCUUGAUCUUCAGCAGCUCCCCCCGUUGCAGCAUCACCGUAUUCAGAGGGCACAUAGUUGUCAUCGUCCUCUUCUUCUUCGCCGACUUCGAUCAUAACCCUAUUUCUCCGUGCCUCGUCCAAAUAUUAUAGUGUGGCAGGAAACCCUUGUAAAGCAGGUGGGUGUGAAGGAUUUUCCGGUCAGAGUAAGACUUCGUAUUCCCACAUUUACUGCAUGGACAACACAUAGAACCAUUCUGCUUGUUUGCCUCAGCCACUUCGAGAAAAAUAUGCACGCCCUUAAUGUACUCGGAGGUGUGUCUGUCACCAUACAUGCAUUGCCGGUUCAUCUUCGUGCAUUACAUAUAAUUAUGUGUGUCAAAAUUAAGAAAAUCAGACAAAUAUCUAUCUAAAGUAAGAAAAUCAGACAAGUAUCAUAAAGAAGAUAAGAACAAGAGGCUCACCAUGGUGGUGCCGGCGACGAGAUCGGCGCGGGCGAUCAACGGCGGUGAAAACGGGGACGGGGCGUGACGGACCCCUAAAUCUAGACAAUUCUCAAAAAAAUGGAGCUCCUAGGUCGAGCUUCGAGAGGAGAAAGCUUAACUAGUGUGGCUCGGGCAUUUCAUCGAACACCUCAUGUGCAUAGGACGUGAACUAGAGCACCCAAAUGCCCUCUCCUCGCCGGAUUGAAAAAAAGAGCACUGUGGAGUGCUCUGCCACAGCGGUGGGUAUAUAUAGGCAAGUUAUUUGUCCCGGUUCGUGGCAUGAACCGGGACUAAAGCCACCCCUUCUGUCCCGGUUCAUGCCACGAACCGGGACCAGUGGUUGUGGGCCAGCAGCGAGGACCAUUGGUCCCGCUUCGUGUCUCGAACCGGGACAAAUGGUUCUACACGAACCGGGACCAAUUCCCACGAGGCCCCGGUCGGCCCCCUGGGCUCACGAACCGGGUCUAAUACCCCCCAUUGGUCCCGGUUCUUGAAGAACCGGGACAAAUGGGCUGGCCAGGGCCGAACGAUAGCCCUGUUUUCCACUAGUGGUACUAAAAGAUCCAGAUACCAAAUAUGCAAGUGAAUAAUUCGGUUGUUAAUCCAGAGGAUUGCUAUUCCCUGCAGCUUAUAUCAUGGAACGGGACACCAUUGAAGGUUUGCUAAUUACUGAGUGUCAAAUGAAUAUAAAAUUUAUCUUCUAUAUUUAUCUAAAGUCAUUGCCACAGUCUCAUGAUACCAUAUCCUUUUGAGGGCAGCCUAUACUGGGUCCACACUAUUGUCGCUUAUGUCGUCCCAAUAAAAUAUAUAGACGAAGGUAGGAACAUGGUUUGCUUCUUUCAAGACAAUAGGUAAGUUAUAUGAACAAAUUGCAUUGACAUGUACUCUCUGCAUAAACAAAUAUAAAAGUGUUUACAUCACUAUUUAGAUAAUCUAAAUGCUUUUAUAAUUUUUUAUAGAGGGAUUAUAUACUAUAUAUGGAAGUUGUACUUGAAUUCUAUUUCUUCCAUGAAUUCUUCAAACAAAAAAAUUCUGCAGGAUGUGCAGCGGAUGAGGACCAUCCAGCACGCCGCUGGCUGUUUGAUCAUGUGACGUGCUGGCUGGAGCCGUCUCAACAAGCUGCUUGCUGGUUCAAAGGACAACUUAGGACAUGGUCAAGUUUGCCCAUAUCGUUUGGUUGCAAUUUUUAUUGUACUAGCGAAUUUGCUUGAGUUGGAACUGAAUGGAAUUCAUUAGGAAACUGUUGGAUGUUGAGUGUGAGGCGACCAAAGAGACCAAAUUGUCUGAGGCGACAGGGCCUAAGUGUAGGUCAGUUGAAGUUCAUAACCAGUAAGAGAAUGUGAGAUUAGAAUGAGAUGCUACAUGUGGUGUAAUGUUACAACUGAGCAAGGGGGAUUGUUUUUGGAUUGUUUCUUCUUUAAUUGGACAAGGUAGUUCUCUAGAUUAUAAUCAUAAUAAUUACUUGCAAGUUCUCAAGAAAUAUUUGUUCUGCAACUAUAACAAACAUGGUCAGACCGACUCGAGCGUAUAGCUUGUAAUAUGACGCCAAUUCUUGAAUUGGUUGUUUCAUGCCAUUUGAAAUUUGUACAUAACACAUUGGACAAUACGCGUAGAUGUCUGUUGUCCUACUGCUUUUUUAAAAUGAUGUAAUGUCGAUCUCUUUUUUUUGCAUAGAGCUAGAUCUUGAUCUCUGCUAGCAAACAAUUUACUUGCUGUUGUUUAAGCCUACCAUAUCUCAAUCUUAAUUAUGAAUACAGUAGUAGUUAGAGUACUUCAAAGAUGUGUGACUGAGAUAUUGGAAAGAUUUGUUAAAAAAUAUUGGAAAGAAAUACUAUUUCUUAAGGGAAAAUAUAUUUAGGUCUCACCAAUGGACUAUCUGAUCAUCAAUAUAUUCCUCUGAAUCAGGAUGUUCGUGAUACCGUUGAUGAGAUAGAGAGGAGGGAUGGGCGAAGAGUUGAGAAAGUACGACAAAAUGAUGCAUCUUGCUCGAACUGGGUCUAGAGGAGGGGAUGCGUCUUAUUUCGCCCCACACACCGGCUAUAGAUCAAGUAGCCGAAUUUAUUUCAUACAUAUUGCAACAGACGGGUUCUUUUGUUAAAACGUUAACUUUUAUACCAUAUUAUGAACGUUUAUUAAAAAUGGAUAUAAAAAAUGAUGCACAAUGGUACAUGAAACAGGUUAAGUCUUUUUUUUUUGCCCGGUACAAAGCACGGGCGUUUGUACUAAUGUACAUCACCCUUCCACUCGAAGGCCUACGUCGCAGUCAUUGUCGUAGACGGGUUCACCUCGCCCUCAUCCUCGUCCCUCCCCGUCGAGCUGGUUGAACAACUCAUCGACUACCGUGUUGAUCCUGUUAGCAUGUUUCUCGUCCUCCUUCCUGUGCUCCUUGUUUCUUUCGGCGUAUAAGACAAUGUCCAGAUUGGCCUGGACGAAUGUCAUCAUGCGCAAUGAACCCCUAGCCUCAUUUGUGUGUUGCGCCUCGGACCCUCUGUUUGCCUUCUCGUUCUCGCCUCGGACCCUCACAUGUAAGGGGCGAGGAACUGCACUUCUUCUUCUUCUUCGUCCGUCUUGUGGAUCAUCACCUUAGCAGGUUAAUUUUCGUUGAGGCAAUAAUUGUUAGUAUGUACUAGCUGGAGCUCUUCACUCUGAUCAGAAAUAUCUGAUCCACGUAAUUGGCGAUGCACUUUAUAAGAUGCCUUGGACCUAUUAGAAUCUAUUUUAUUCCCUACAACGAGACAAGCCCUGUUGCUGUGAUGACUGUACUCACCUGAUCAUCCGCGUAAUGCUUUAUGAGAUAUUAAGUGGGUGCAAUCUAAAAAAUUAUCACAAUCAUGAUCUUCAAAACGAUGGAUUGUGUGAUUGUGUGUGAUUACAGAAGCACCAAUACAGAUGAAUUCGAGGAGUGAUGAUGUACACAAUCUGCAGUUAAACUUGAUUUCUUCUUCCUACUCUCAGAUUUAGAAGUAGCAGCAUCGUGUACACCAACUUUUUCCUCUUCAGAAAUGAAACAAAGGUCCGAGUUCCUAAUCCAGGCACGUGGAGUUCUUCGUGAUCUAGAUCUAGUCAUGCCACCAUGUUGGCACUAGGAAAGCUGACAUGCCGCGGUGGGCGCCGCCAAUCAAGUGGAAGAUUAGAGGAGGGGCGUUGUGGCUUGAGGGUCCCCAUGAGAAAGAGAGGUAGAAGGAAGGUGAGGAAAGUUGCUGCAAAAGGGUGCAGUUGGCACGAUGGAGGAGGGGCAUAUCAUAGAGGGAAGAGAGGUCAGGGAGUGGAGGAUGCACCGCGGGACAAGGGGGCUGGAUGACAUCGUUCGCCUUUGGUUGACUAAAUAGAUUUACUAGUUGGGUCAUCAGAUAUGCUAGGAAGGCCGGGGGUUUAACCUCCUUUUCAAAAAAAAAAUCAGAUAUGCUAGGCCUAUGUAAAGUUUGUAAUACGAUUAAUGUAACUGUUGACGUGGCAUUUUCUAGUUGGAAGAAGUUAGGGGAGGAGGGCCCACCCAGUUGAAUUCCGGGGAGGGGGGGGUUGAGAUUAGUUUGGACGAUUACCUAACAACGUCAUAAAAGUUUAGUAGGUGUAUAGUCCCAAUCAACAUCCAAACACAAUUUUUUCACUAAAGUAGCGCCUAUCAACGACAGUUGACCCAGUCGAUGAGAGAUGAAAGCGCUAAUGGAGAACGAAUAGCCAGAAAUGAUAUAUUAGAAAGACGGAUGGCCACAAAUGUAAGGGGUCGGGAGGGCUAGGAUUAGUCUUAGUUUUACUGUCCUAAAAUUAAUAUGUUCUUCCCGUGAACAUAUAUAUUCCAUCUACAAUCACUUUGCUUCUACUCAAUUGCUCAUUGGCAUGUAAGGCACAUGGAAGAUUAGACUAAUCUUAUAGACAAGUGAAAACCACACAUGAUGCGAUAUCAUUGAGGUGCCAAUCCAACAUAAUCUCACACAUGGGAUUUGGCAUUUUAGUGCAUGCACAUGGUGUGAGGGUGUGCCCAAGGGAGACAAUUGACAAUCUAACAUUUUCUCGCAUAUAUAUAAGAUUUGACAUAAUAGCACAUUCGGUAUGCCUAUAGGAGACAAUGCUAAGAAUUGUUGUUCAUUUAGUUAUUAGUAAUAUAUCUAUGGAACUACGCAUGGUCACCUAAGCUACUCAUUCCCUUAUUAGAAAGGCCAUAAAGGCACCAGACGUAGAGAGCUACCAAACAUGCCCUUAUGACAGUUGAGGAUACGGAUAAUUUUGACAUAUAUUUGUAUUUUCUCCUCUAGUAGUUUUUUGGUGUAUAUCAUGAGCGUGAACAUUUUGUUAUAUAUUUUCACAUGCUUUAGUGUUUCAUUACUUGUAGACAUGAAAUACAUAGGGAAAUCUACACAUGAAUGUCUACUGAAGAAACAUCUAACUACAAGAGUUAUUGUUUCCUUGCCAUCUACAUUUACUUAAUGCCCCAUGACACCUGAGGAUCUUAAUCCCUUCCCCAUAUAUACUGAGUUCCUACUGUACCAUUGUUGGUGUAUAUCAUCAUCCCAAGCAUUGCGCUUCACCUUGUUGUUAUUUGAUUACUUUAAGACAUGGAAGACAUUGUGAAGUUCUCAACGACAUCAAACCUAAUCACGAUGACUCAAGCAUGUCUAUGGAGCAUCAUUUUAGUAUGAGAAACAUUGUCUGCAGUACCAUAAUGUAUAAAAACACUCCCACUUGAGUACCAGAAAGAUAAUAGAAGUUAACAUGAUUCAUCAGGUAGAAAUGGAGCGGUUAAAAAAUAAAAUAAUAUAGUGUCGGACCAGAUACAUUGUCAUGGAAAUGAUUUAUUCUUGAGCGUGAAACAUAAAUCUAACAGAUAAUAACAAGUUUUAGGUAGAAUGGCCGGCAUGAAACACAAUAGCUUUAGAAAACGUCCAUAGGAAGGACUGUGUCACCAUGGCACCGGAUCUUUCAUUUAUCAUCUUCGCAGAUUGCUGUAACAUGAAGAAAAAAAGUGUUCAAGAGACUAAUACAACAUACAGGGAACAGUAUAAUAGUGUAUACUAGACGGUAUGAUGCACUCUACUGCAACCUGGUAUAGAUGCGUCCAUAGAUGGGAAUGUAAUUUACGUGGGCUUGGUCACACAGAGUUUUUGUUGAUCACGAUCUGAUGUGUACCAUUUUUUAGAUAUUUUUCUCUUGCCAGGAAGACCGACCUUAUAGCCUUGAAAAUCAUAUGAGAUGUCUUUUGCUAUAAAUUAAAAAGAUUAUACCGACCAACUAGUGGUUGAAUGGUUAGGAGGGUGGUUGUAUCGCUAGCUGACAAGGAAUCAAACCCUAGGUUUGACACAUGCGUGUCUCAUAAAGGCUAAAUAUUCUUUAAGUGAGAAGCGAAAUUUCUAUCGACAGUGAGCUGUCAUUGGUGUACGUCCACCUCAUGACAUGUUGUCUCAAUCUCUCGAAUGUACUCAUAUGGAUAGUGUGUGGAUACAUGAGUGUAUAUAUGUACUUGUUUGUUUGUGUCUACUUUUGUACUACCUUUCCAUAAAAAAACAACAACCAUGGGGGAGAAUCCACACACCAUAGCCAAAGGAAAUGAACUAUGCUAGUCAACCCACAACCCAACGGCAGCACACCGGAGAGAGGCAGAAACAAGCAGACAACAAGCGCCACAAGACUAGCAGCGGUGCCAGAAACAAAAAAGUUAUUGUUUCAAGUGCACUAAUUAAUCUCUAUAAUAUCUUUUUUAUUUGCACAAAUAUGAAUAAAACUUAGUGCUGAUUAUUUUGCUCUAGUACUUUUGGUGUAUAUUGUGAGCCUGACCAUUUUUUUGUAUAUUUCCACAAGCUUUAGUGUUUGAUUACGUGUAGACAUCAAAUACACAGGGAAAUCUACGCAUGCAUGCUUACUGAAGCAUCAUGUAACUAGAGCCAUUGUUUCCUUGCCAUCUACAUUUACUUAAUGCUGCAUGAUACCUAAGGAUCUUGAUCCCUUCCCCAUAUAUAUUGAGUUCCUACUACAGCAUUGUUGGUGUAUGUCAUCAUCCCAAGCAUAUUGCGCUUCACCUUAUUGUUAGUUGAUUACUUCAAGACAUGGAAGACACUGUGAAGUUCUCAACGACAUCGAACCUAAUAACGAUGACUCAAACAUGUCUAUGUAGCAUCAUUUUAGUACGAGAAACAUUGUCUGCAGCAUCAUAAUGUAUAAAAACACGCCCACUUAAGUACCACAAAGACAAUAGAAGUUAACAUGAUUCAUCAGGUAGAAAAGGAGCGAUUGAAAAAUAAAAUAACAUAGUGUUGGACCAGAUCCAAUGUCACGGAAAUGAUUUAUUCUUGAGCGUAAACAUAAACCUAACAGAUAAGAACAAGUUUUAGGUCGAAUGGCCGGCACGAAAGACAAUAGCUUUUGAAAACGUCCAUAGGAAGGACUGCGUCACCAUGGCACCGGAUCUUUCAUUUAUCAUCUUCGCAGAUGGCUGCAACAUGAACAAAAGGAAGUGUUCAAGAGACUAAUACAAUAGAAAGGGAACAUUAUAAUACUGUAUACUAGAUGGUAGGAUGCACUCUACUGCAACUUGGUAUAGCUACGUCCAUAGAUGGGAAAGUAAUUUACGUGGGCUUGGUUACACAGAGUUUUUGUUGGUCACGAUCUAAUGUGCACCAUUUUUUAGAUCUUUUUCUCUUUCUAGGAAGACGAACCGUAUACCCCAGAAAAUCACACGAGAUGUUUUUUGCUAUAAAUUAAAAAGAUUAUACCAACCAACUAGUGGUGGAAUGGUUAGGAGGGUGGUUGUAUUCCCAGUUCACAAGGAAUCAAAUCCUAGGUUUGACACAUGCGUGUCUCAUAAAGGUCAAAUACUCUUUAUGUGAGAAGCGAAAUUUCUAUCGAGAGUGAGCUAGCUUUGGUGUACGUCCACCUCAUGACAUGUUGGCUCAAUCUCUUGAAUAUACUCAUAUGGAUAGGAUACAUGAGUGUAUAUAUGUACUUGUUUGUUUGUGUCUACUUCUGUACUACCUUUCCAAAAAAAAAAGUGGAUAGGAAACUAUAACUUUUUGUCUCUUCACUUCAGAAAUGUGUUGUUAUGGUUUCUGGCACCACUUGAAACCACUUGAAUAUACUCAUAUGGAUAGGAAACCAUAACUUUUUGUCUCUUCACUUCAGAAAUCACAACACAUUUCUACGACCAAAAGAAAAAAAACAAUCAACGCACACGGACUAGAUUAUUUGUGCCAUCGUCAAUUGCCCACAUCAAAUAGCGCCAAGCCGAAUGCACAAACCCUAGGAUCAUCUAUCCCUCACGUUACCACGGGACCAAAUUAAAUCGGCUGAACGAUGAGGCGAGAGGAAGGAGCUCUUACUGGUCUUUGGCUGCUUUCCGUCGACCCAUUUGGCGCGGGAGAAGUGGACCUUCUCGAAUUCGGCGGCCUCGGACUUGUAAGGCUCCUUGAGGCAGCUCCGCACCAUGUCCGCGCACAUCUUGGAGUAGCCGAUGUAGGUCAUCCCCGCCGCUCGCCAGAAGGGCGCCGCCGCCUUGGUGGCCGACAUCGCCGUCGCCUUUCCUCUGCUCGAUAAACCCGCCGCCGCCGAUUAACUAGACGGGAAUUGAGAACGGGCAGAUCGAUCAGUGAACACGUAGGUACUCAUCAGUCAUCACGUAUGGGUUAUAUAUAGACAAAUGCAAAACCGAUCGAUCAGUGAUUCCGGCAGGUCAGAGGGCUGCAUGCAUGGAUCGCAUUGCAUUUGGUUGGUGUGCAUUUAGUUACGGAUCGGAUCGGAUUGUUUCCACCUCCUGUUUUUUGGGACAAGAACGCGUUUACUAGAAGGAACUUGGAUCGACGACCGUAUCUUGCGCUCGGCCAGAACACGGUUAAACGCGGCUAACGAACGAACGAAUCCAACCUACUAACGCGUUUCCUUUCCAUUUCCGUUCACAGAAAAGGGAAAAGGGAAAUCCGUUGGUACUGUCAGCUAUACCCUACUAACUCGCGAUCAAACUAAGGUAGGAUCGGCUCGAGAGAGAGAGAUAUGAAACAGGAUGAACACCGGUUGUUUUGUGCAGCGUUCAACUUGCCGCUUUUCUGCUCUUCUAUUCUUUUUAUUCAGCUGGGAAAACUAACGUGCCGCGGCUAUCGCCACGACCCCUACUAAGUCGUGCCAUCCCACGACUUGGAUCGAGCGCACGGCUCUCCUAAAGACUCGGGACGCGGACGCACAGAUCGCGCCGUCGUCAGACUAUAACAACCGAAGAAAGACUCUGACGAAACUGAAUUUUAUCGAUACCUAAACCCUGACGGGUCUGAACCUGAACCUGAAACUUAUUUCAACAAAUCUCCCCCUAAGUUUUAGUCCUUAGUGAUGUUGGUGAUGCCGAUCCUUGCACGCAGGUCCCGGAACUGAAUUCUUCCAAGAGACUUGGUGAGAAUGUCGGCGAGUUGAUUGGUGAUGCCGAUGUGCUCGACGGUGAUCUUGCCGUCCUCGACGCACCUCAUGAUGUAGUGGAAGCACGUAUCAAUGUGUUUCCUGCGCUCAUGAAACACUGGGUUCUUGAUCAGCUGGAUAGCGCUCUGGUUGUCGAUGUAGAUCUUUACCAUCUCCUCCUCCUUGUUCAGCAGCUCCCCUAGGAGGCGCCAGAGCCAGGCAGCCUGGCAUGCCGUGGCAGAGGCGGCCAUGUACUCGGCCUCGCACGACGACAGAGGUACUGCCUGCUGCUUCGCAGACUGCCAGGUCACCGGGCAGCCGGUGAUGAGGAAGAGAAUGCCCGUCGUGCUCUUGCGAUCAUCUAGGUCACCAGCAUGAUCCAAGUCGAUGUAACCCACGAGCUCAAGCUGCUUGCUACUGCUAUGGAUUACGUACCCGUAGUUCUUGGUACCAGCGAUGUAGCGGAGGAGGUAUUUGACAGCGCUCAGAUGCUCUGUCGUGGGCUUCUCCAUGAAGCGGCUCACAUACCCCACAACAAAGGCGAUGUCCGGCCUGCUGUGCACUAGGUAGCGAAGACUGCCGACGAUGGAGCGAUAGAGAGUCACGUCCACCGACGGGUUUGAGCUCGUCUUGCUAAGCUUCAGGCGCGGUUCCAUGGGCACCUGUGCUGAAGCGCAGUCCGCCAUGCCUGCUUACUCCAACAGCUUGGCAGCGUAUGCAGAUUGGCAGAGCAUGAUCUUGCCGCUCUGCUGGGUCACCUCGAUGCCGAGGUAGUAGGAGAGGAGGCUCAGGUUGCUCAUCUUGAAUCUAUCCGUCAUUUCUUGCUUGAACUUGGCGAUCUUCAAUGUACUGCCGCCUGUUACGAUCAAGUCGUCGACGUAUACCCCCAGCAGCAAACGAGGGCCUUCUUAUCCGCGAGCGUACACAGCGUGUUCAGAGGGGCAUCGAGUAAACCCUAGUGUUCGAAGGGUGUAGUCAAGCUUGGAGUUCCAUGCCCGCGGUGCCUGACGAAGACCGUAGAGCACCUUCUUCAGGCGAAGCACCUUGCCCUCCUCGCCGCUGACGACGAAGCCGGGGGGCUGUGAGACGUACACCACCUCCGUCAAGUCACCGUUCAAGAACGCGCUCUUCACGUCAAGGUGGUGCACCUCUCAGCUGUGGUGUGCUGCUAUGGCGACGAGAACGCGCACGGAAUCCAGGCGCGCCACCGGUGCGAAGACCUCGUCGAAGUCGAUGCCGGCGCGCUGUGCAUACCCCUUGGCGACGAGCCUCGCCUUGUGUCGUACCACUUCUCCUGCCGGGUUCUUCUUUAGCUUGUAGACCCACUUAAGCCCGAUGGGACGGUGGCCGGCCGGGAGAUCGCAGAGUUCCCACGGUAUCGUUCUCCUUGAUCGAUGCCAUCUCCUCGGCCAUAGCCGCUCACAAACCCGCUUCAGACUGGGCCUCUACAAGUGUUGCAGGUUCCUCCCCUUCUGCAAGGAAAAGAUCCUGCUCCAAUUCUUCUUUGAUGUUUGCCAGGGUUGUGUACCUUCGCAUAGAAGAGUCGCGUUCCUCCGUAGUGGGAGUGUUGUCGCCUCCUGGCGUGGCGAACUCCACCCCGGCACGCGGUGGCUCAGGUGGUGUAGCGAUGAGAGGUGUUGCAGGCGUCCCCGUUGGCGGUGGUGUUGCAGGUGGCGCCUCCACGUGGUCGCCCUCGCCUUCUACCUCCACCGGUGCACUCUCUGGCGGGGUUGGUGCGCCCUCACGUGCGCCCGUAGAGCCACGCAGGGCCGUAGUUGAUGGAGUGUACGCGAUGUCGAAGUCGCCGUUCUGCGUCACUACGCCGGCGCUCUCCCAGCUCCAUGACGCUGCUUCGUCAAAGACAGCGUCUCUGGUAACGUGCACUCGCUGGGUCAGGGGAUCGAACACCUUCCACGCCUUAGUGCCUGGCUCGUAGCCGAGUAGCACCAUCUUGGUGCUUUGAACAUCAAGUUUCUUGAGGUGUGGCUGCGCUGCCUUGACGUAGACGGCGCAACCGAACACACGGAGGUGAUGGAGGCUCGGCGGCGUCCCAUGCCAGAGCUCGAAGGGAGUCUUGCCGUCCACUGCGCUUAUGAAGGAGCGGUUUAGCAGGUAUACUGCUGUCGUCACCGCCUCCCCCCAAAACGCACUGGGAACGUCUCUCCCUUUGAGCAUGCUUCUUGCGGUGGCUACCACCGUCUGGUUGCACCGCUCGACGACACCAUUGUGCUGUGGAGUGUACGGGGCGGUGAGGUGGCGCUGGACGCCAUUGUCGGCACAGAAGUCGUCGAAGGAGCGGAAGGUGAAUUCCCCUCCCCGAUCGGUGCACAGGGUGCGUACCACGCACCCGCUCUGAACCUCUUCUGCGGCUUUGAUGCGCCUGAUCGCCGUCUCCGCUUCGUCCUUGGUGGAGAGCAUUGCCAGCCACAUGUAGCGGUUGUAGUCGUCCACCAUGAGGAGAAAGUAGCGUUUCCCGCCCGGGGUCGCCGGCGAGAUAGGCCCACAGAGAUCGGCGUGGACGAGCUCCAGACGCGUCGUCGCCCUAAACUUCGCCACCUGAGGGAAGGAUGCGCGCUUCUUCUUCCCUGCCAAGCAUGCGUCGCACUACUGGUCGGCGUGACCGAUCUCCAGCAGGCCGCGAACCAUGCCACUACGGGACAUAGUGCGGAGAGCUCCGAAGUUAGGAUGUCCGAGGCGUUCGUGCCAGGUCUAGGCCGUGUCGCCGCGGCGCACAGAGAGGCAAGCAGGCUGUACAAUCUUCAGAUUGACCUUGUAGAGAUGAUUGGGUGAUCGUGGUACCUUUGCGAGCAAGCGGUUUUGCCUAUCCCACACCGUCAUGUAGCCGCCGCGGAUCGAGGAUGGGCAUCCGUUUUCAUCGAGCUGCCCCAGGCGGACGAUGCUGGUCUUGAGCUUGGGGAUGAAGUACACGUCAGUAAGACCGCGAUGUUCGUCGCCGCUCACCGAGAUCACCACCGUGCCGCGCCCUCAGAUGUCCACGAUGGAGUUGUCGCCGAAAUGCACCAUGCCGACGAUCUUGGUGUCCAGAUCAGUGAAAGCGGCACGACUGCCCAUCAUGUGAUUUGACGCGCCGCUAUCGAGGUACCAGGGAACGUCGACCGGCUCCUGCUCGUCACCCAGCCGCACGAUCGCCUGCUCCUCAUUCAGAAACACCCGGUCGCCGUCCUGCACCCGUGUGUCGACGGUGAGGACGAGGUUCAGUUGUGCCGCAAGAUAUGCCGUGGGCUCAUCUUCGCCCCCCUCCUUCACGAGGUGGGCUUCCUCGCGCUUCUUCUUGCGACACUCUCGGGCCCAGUGCCCGAGUUUGCCGUAGUAGCGGCACUUGUCAUCGCGUGCAGCACAUGUGCCGCCGCGCGGUUUGUCAUGCGCGCCGUCGUGGCCGCGUCCCUUGUCGCGGCGGUUUCCGCCACCGCCGCCACUCCCGGAGGGAGUGUCCUCCUUCUGACGCGCGCGCCACUGCUCCCUCGUGAGCAGCAGCUGGCCGUCGUUGGUGGCGCCUGCGGGCUCGUCGUCAUCGUCUUCCUCGCAGACCUUGAGACGCCCGGUGAGCUCUUCAAUGGACAUGGUGUUCAGAUCAAGGAGGCUCUCGAUCGACCGCGCCAUUUGCCUGUACCUCUUCGGCACGAUCCGCAGGUAUUUGAGGAUCACCUUCUUGUCGUCGAUGGGGUCGUCGUGGACGUCCAGCUGAUGGACCAGCUCCUGCAGCCGGAACCCAAAAUCAUCGACAGACUCACCAGGCUUGAACCUGAGAUCCUCGUACUACUUGCGGAAGUUUUGGGCCUUCGAGUCGCAGACACGAUCAGCCCCUACCCGGAUCAUCUUGAUCGCGUCCCAUGCCUCCUUCACCGUGUCCUUGAUGACGAGCAUCGGAAUCAUCUCCUACGGCAGAGCCCGGAGGAUAGCCUCUAGUGCCAUGCGGUCGUCGUCGAAGUCGCCUACUCCGGUGUCGAUGAGGUCCCACAGGUGUCGUACCUGGAGGAUCACCUUCGUCAGCAGCGACCACGAGUUGUAGUUGGUCCUCGUCAGCGUGGGCCACGCCAUGCCCGAGUCGCCGCUGAGAUCGCGCCCGGAGCGCGGAAGGGACAGAGUGGAUUUGGGCGCGUCGUCAGCGCCGUCGGCGGCCUUCUUCGACGCGUCGCCUCCUCCGUUCUUCGGCAUCCCUCCUCCAGGUAUGGAUCAACAAAGCUCUGAUGCCAAUUGUCAGCUAUACCCUACUAACUCGUGAUCAAACUAAGGUAGGACCGGCUCGAGAGAGAGAGAGAUGAAACAGGAUGAACACCGGUUGUUUUGUGCAGCGUUCAACUUGCCGCUUUUCUGCUCUUCUAUUCCUUUUAUUCAGCAGGGAAAACUAACGUGCCGCGGCAAUCACCACGACCCCUACUAAGUCGUGUCAUCCCACGACUUGGAUCGAGCGCACGGCUCUCUUAAGGACUCGGGAUGCGGACGCACCGAUCGCGCCGUCGUCAGACUAUAACAACCGAAGAAAGACUCUGACGAAACUGAAUUUAUCGACACCUAAAACCCUUACGGGUCUGAACCUGAACCUGAAACUUAUUUCAACAGGUACACCAUGCAUCCUUGACUCGCACUAAAAUCCUCGCACAACAAAGAAUAAGAAGUGAUGCAAAAAUGAAGGGAAAUUUACGAACGACCAACAUUCGGUCUACGAUCAGAUUGGGCUUAGACCCGACCACAGGGAAAUUUACGUCACACCCACCACGCACUUGGUUGCCACCCUCGAGGACCUGGUUGAAGGUUCACCUACCUGACUACCAGAGCUUAAGACGGUCUAUGUCCGGAUCCCCUAAUGCGGAAUCCGAGCUCUCCCUCAAACUCGAUUCGAAGUGCGACUCAGAUUCCAAGCGGCCAUAUCCGGCUGAGAACUCAUACCCAAGCCCUACGCACCGGGCUCCUUGACGGUAUUUGACACAACCAACAAAACUAGGGAUUCACAUCCUAGCGGGACGCCAAAAGUUUCGCCACCCACGUCCCAAAAGUUUCCGGAGAGGUCUGAUAUAAGGAACCUACGGCGCAUCAAGAGACAGCAGGGGGAGACAGUUCAACACUUUUGGGCCAGAUUACUGCUGGCCAAAAACCAAAUAUCGGACUGCAUGGCCAGGAAAUUAUAGAAACCUUCCGGCAUAACUGCCAUGGUGAAGGAAUUUUAAACGCCCUCGCCCACCGUCAACAAUCGACAGCUUCACCGAGCUGUCUACAUUGAUACACAAGUAUUGCACAAUGCAAAGCACCUGGCAGACUCAACAAAUACAAACGGAGUCAAUCCACGCAUAGCAACCCAGAGGAGCUCGAAGGAAGCGCAUACCCCAAUGCUGGUCGUCCAAGCACGGGCCCGCAGAGACAAAGAAUAAACCCCUCGAUAGAUCCAGAACUGCCCUUGAUAGACUAUUGGACAUCCACAUAACAAUUAUCAGCAAAAUAAUAAAAAAUGGUUACGACAAUAUCGGAGUUAUUUACCCAAAACCACCAUAGUUGAGGCUAGGGUAACAACUUGCUACCACAUUUGUAACCCAACUAUGAAACUGAAAUGACAACUUGUGAUACUGAUUAUUUGGUAAUGUUUAACAUUUUAUUUCAAAAUCAUGAAAUAUGUCAUUUCACAAAUAUGCAAUUAAAAUUUAUGUCAUUUUUGUGAAAAAAGAUAGUAACACAUUUCAUAAUUGUGAAUAAUAACUACAUAGAGUGAAUUUGUAAUGUAUGAUUUUGAAACCAAUUUUUUGACAUGGGAUAUAGUCCAUUUCAAAAGUGUGAGAUGUGUGAUUUUAUAAAAGUGCAAUUAAAAUAGAUGUGAUAUUCUUAAACAAGUCGGUGACAUAUUUCAGAAUUGUGGAAUAAUAACUACAAAAAGUGAAAUUGUAAUAUAAGGUUGUGAAACCGAUUAUUUGAAAAUGUGAAAACAAUCUAUUUCAAAAAUGUGAAAUUGUAAUAUACCAUUGCACAUUUUCAAGUAAUCAAUUUCAUGAUACAUUAUCCUUUCACUUACUGUGGUUACUCUUUCACAGUUAAAAACAUACGUUUCUAUUGUCGUUGGCUUGUUUCACAAAAAUAACUCACAUUUCUUAAAAACCUAUUCCCCCUUUUGAAAUUAAUUGUUUCAAAUUAUUAAAUAAUCGGUUUCAGAAGUUGACAUUUUCGUAUCAUAUUUUUUUCACCUUCAUAACCUGUAUUUAACUUUCCACUAUCCUGUUUCACAAAAGGCACAUUUUUCAUGUGAAAUAGGUUUGGUCCACAGACGAAAUCUGAAACGUUGAAUUUUAAACUUGUUUGGAAAGUAACCAAAACUGGUUUAUUCUAAAAGUCUUGAUGUCAAAAGUUCAAAUAUAUAAAUUAUUCAACAAACAAGCUUAUGUUAUAAAAGAUAUAAAUGAUUUUAGUUGGCUAAGAUGAAAUGCGAAGUCCAUGAUUUGUUUGCAAGGGAGAACGGAGAAACCGAUGCAUCCGUUGUGUGAGAGAAGAGAGAGAGGGUUGUCUCAUCUAUGUCUGCAUGUAACAACAUCUAUAGCUGGUACAUGCAAAUCCGACCCCUAAAACGCCCGCGGACGCGCCCGGUCAUUUGACCGGGUGUGUCCAUUUCGAGACCCUAUUUUUUCAUCUGUGCAGCUGCAUUUCUUAUGUUUUUCCACAUAUGUCUGAUCACUUGCAAGUGAUUGGUGGAGAACAAGAGAGAAAAAAGAAUGAAUCAAGAAAGAGAAAAUGUGGUCCGGAGUGGGGUCGCGUCCUAGGUGACGGACUGACCGGGCGUGCCUGGCGCGUCCGCGAGCCCUAAUAUGGUCGUCAUAUUUGAGAUGAAUAUGAGGGGUGUCGGUUAGUCUGGAUGUUUGAGAUGGAUAUGGUCGGUCCGGUUGGGUCGAUUUUAUGUGACCGCUCAGUGGCCGGGCGGCCUGCCCGAUGUUUGUGACGGAUAUGAGGGGUCCGGCUGUAGAUGCUCUAAGGACAUUGAUGGUACCCGCUAGGUGUAUUAGAUCUGAUUUUCAAUUUGUAUAGAUGAAAUGAAGAAAUAACAGCUGUCUAUGGUUCAGAUCUUAAAGCAGCCUGUGUAUGGUCAGAUCAUUACCAUUAGGUAACGUUAAGGCUCAAAAAGAGUUUCUGCCAGUUCACCCACCUUAUGUGCAUUUGAUUUAUUGUCAUCCUCCUUAUUUAUUCCAUGAUGAUAGCUGAGGAUCUGUGUGUUUUCCCAAUUAUAUUUAUACCAACUUCCCACACUAGGAUUGUUCAUCCUUAGCGCAAGCCCAAACACUUCAUGACCUCUACUAUUUGCAUCCUUGAAUUAAUUGCGUGAGUACUCGUAGACAUGGAAGGCAUCAGGAGCUCUUCAACAACAUGAAGGAUUGCUGUAUCGACAUGAUAGGCUGAUGUGACCUUUUGCUCACGGCAAAGCAGAACCUGGAGUCUCCGGUUAUGUGAGCCUCUCCAAACUGGAGCCUCUUGACCACCUCUAAAACUGAGCUAAUCUGAGUUCCUAAUACAGCUGCCGAACUUUGUGUCAACAUCUUAGCUGCUCCUGCCUAUGCUAGUUUGCACUCUACAUCAUGGCACAACGGUCUCAGACCCUCAGUAAUGUUGGUUGAAGACGAGGUUACUGCAGGCAUACAAUGAGAGCACAUCAGUGAAAUUUCUGUGCUCCUAAAAUACCUUAGGAGAACUGGACACAGUAUCGGGUCGUCCAAGCACGGGCCCGCAGAGACAAAGAAUAAACCCCUCGAUAGAUCCAGAACUAAUCUUUGUGGAGUGGAACCUUGUUCCAACUAAUAAUCCAAGCCACAUAGUUAACCAAGCAAUAACACCAGCCAUGACGUUGAUAUUUCUUAGCGAGGUUCAUUAAUAUGGUUACAUUCUCGGGGUGAGAGCACCUACAACAGGACUUGGCAAAUCCGGCCCGUAUACGCCAGCGGACAGUGACUGGACAGCCCCCAAAUUUACUACUCUGCAUCCGAGUCUUUCAUAUUUCAGUCUCUAGAUCCAUAUAAACAUGCAAAAGAAAUCAUACGUACAACAUACUACGUAUUGCCCUAGUUAUUGUCGUCGGACAUGUCCACGACUUCGGCGCCGGUGCCACGUAGACGGCUGUGUAGGAGGGCUCCGACUCCUCAUCCAAGCAGGCGAACAUCUCCUCCUCCUGCACGGCCUUCUGAGUCAUUUUAUUGACCGGCCAGUGACUGGGCAGCCGGAUAUGAGUGGUGCUGGUCAACCCGGGUGUUCGAGGUGUGUUUAGGGCGUCCGUCUGAGUCAUUUUAUUGACCGGCCAGUGAUUGGGCAGUCGAAUCGGGCGGUUGAGGCCCGUUUAGGGCGUUCAUCUCGAUUUUUUUUUGUGACCGGUUAAUGACCGGGCGGCCUCUUCGGGCGUUCGAAGCCCGUUCACGGUGUCCGUUGAGGAAUUUUUUUUGUGACCGUUGAGUGACCGGACAGCCCGUCCGAACGUUUGAGACGAGUUUAAGAAGUCCAGAUGUAGAUACACUAACCAUGUGAAACCCUAACCAAGGGAAUCAACGCACUUGAUUAACGCGCAUCUCCUGUUUUUUCAUUCGCAUGGCGUCACUCUUUCUUUCUAAACUGGCAUGGCAUCACCGUAGAUAGAUCCGUCCACCCUCGUUUAGCCUUUAUGUUUUAACUACAUUAGUAGAAAACAGGGCUUUGGUCCUGGCAUGAUAAAAACAUUAGUUCCGGUCGACUUAUGAACCGGGACUAAUGCGUGCAUCACUCCCGGUUCGAACGGCCAGGACGCCGGUCGGGCCUCGGCGGGCAUCAGUCCUAGUUCUUCUAGGACCUUUAGUCUCGUUUCGUGCCACAAACUGGGGCUAAAGGGUCUGGCUGCUGGCGCAACCCCUUUAUCCUGGUUCCUGUCUCGAACCGGGACUAAAUGCUAGUCUUCAGUCCCGGUUUGAACACCGACUGGGACUAAAAGUUUGCCUAUAUAUAUAUGCUCGUCCCUGCCUGCUCACUCCUCUCUUUUUUUGCCAGCCAGCUUGUCCAGGUGCGUGCUACUCUAUUCUCACCUCCUAUGCACAUGAGGUGUUUGAUGAAAUUCCAGAACCACCUAAAAUUAACCUUUUAGUUUGCACAUGUGUAGGAUGUCGUCCCGUCCCCGUGCACGUCGUCCUCUACCCCGUCCAUUUCUUGUGACGAUCUCAUCGUCAGCACCACCGUGGUGAGCCUCUUCUUCUUAAUUAUCCUUUUUUAGAGAAAACAAUUCUGAGUUAUAUGAUUUAUAUAGCUACUUGUAUAAUUUUCAUACUUUUAUUAUUAUUUGUUAUUACAUAGUGUCGUGAUUUUGGUAUCCGGCCCCGUCGGCUCUCGCCCGGUCUAUAACAAUUAUGACGACCAACUUGACAUAGAUGACUUUAUCCAGGAGGUAUGUGAACUGAAAAUUCUAACCGACCCUUUUGUCGAGAGGUUAAAUCUAGUUGAAAAAGAAAACAAUUAUUUGAAAGAAAAAUUGAAAAGAGUUGAAGAAGAGAAGAUGAAAUUGGAGUUGCAUGUUGCUAAUGUCGUCGAUCUACACAAGAUCCACAUGAGUGCAAUGCGCUUUAAGAUUACAAGAAUUAGAAAAUAUGACAUGGAUAAUGAGGCUUGGUAUCAUUAUGCUGUUGGAUCGCAUUUGUUGUUGCAUUUAAAUGUUUUACAUAGUUGUAUGUUCCUUUCAAUGUAUGUUUUAAUUAGAUGCUCUAGAGAGUUGUAUGUUGUUCUACGAGGACUAUAUGUAUGGACUUUAUGUAUUUAUUUUUUCAGUAAUAACAUUUGAUGAUGAACUUGUAUUAGUUUGGUCACUUUUCUUUAGUCAUGAUGUUUUAUAAUGGUUUUUAUAUACUGAAUUAAAUAAAUUUGUUUUCGUCCAAAACCUUGAUUAAAUGAAUAACCUUUUUAGAGUUUAUUUGUAGUUCUUUUCAAUUUCAGGAUCAUUUAGCUCAAAAAAAUGAUUAAAUGCAUGAAAAAUAGCAAAUGAAGCCAGCAUAGUGUUGAAAAUUGAUGAUGUGACUUUGAAUAAUGCAUAUUGACCUCACAAAUAGUCUCGAGUUAAAAUAUGUUAAAAAAAUAAAAUCCCUUUAUAAUAGAUGAGUUUUUGUGUGAAAUCAUAAUACUUCAAAAGAGAUUGUCCAGUUUGUACGCGAAGUAUAUUAUGUUUUUGCCAUAACCGUCUCAUCUUUUUAGCACAUGAUGCACUACAAGGAAUANNNNNNNNNNNNNNNNNNNNNNNNNNNNNNNNNNNNNNNNNNGCUAUUUUUUCAUCGCUACAUCGUCACGGUUUUUAAUUUACGACGAUCUCAUGAUGAAAAGCCAAGCGUCGAAAACGGAGCGUCAUAAAUUAACAUCAGCGACGUUUUGAUCAAAAUCGUCGUAACUUUUACGACGAUUCCUGGAUCGUCGUAACCUUUACGACGAUCCUAAAUCAUCGUUGGCAAUCAAACUCAGUCCUACAUGGCAAAGUUACGAUGAAAUUAAAACGUCAUGGUUGUAAUCAGCCUAACCCAUUUCAAUUGAUCACAUGGGCUGGUUUUAUUUUUUUGGGCUUUUUCUUAUUGGGCUUCUUUUUGGGCCUUAGCCUAUUUACAACCACUUUAGUAUUUUUUUAAUUUUUUUAUCAUUAUAAUUUGGGCCCUGGCCUUUUAGUGCCCAAAUACAUUUGGUCCAGUUUCAGUUUUUUUUAUAUUAUUUUUUAAUUCAGCAAUUUUUGUUCCAGAACUUGGUUUCAUUUCUAUUUCUUGGGUCUUUUCGACCAAAUUAUUUGUCCAAUAUUAAAUCCAACACUAUUUCAUAUUCAAAUCAAGAAAACUCCAAGUCAAAUUAAAAUCAUCCAUCAUAUAACAUCACAUAAUACAUCUCCAAGGUUUACAUAACACAAUAACUCAUCUCAUGAAUACAUUUCCUUACACAGGAAUAUAGCAAGAACGAACAGAAUUACACAAUAAAACAAUGGCACAUCUGCUAACAAUGGAGUUCAUUCCACUCUCCUAUGA